GGGCCCCUUCCAGCAAACCCCUCCGCCCCGGAGAGUCCUUCCUUGGGAGCGCCGGCUGAAUUAUGCAGUGUGGGAUUCUUGCAAGCAACUACAUUUAAUGACAUUGUGCCGGCGGCGGGGACAGUCACACCGGGUGGAAAUUAACCCGGAUCAAAGCCAUCUUCAGGGGGGAACAUUCCUAACACGCUCAGCCCGCCCUGUAACUCCCCGUACACCAAGGGUGCGCUUCUUACUCACCCUCCGCCUGCUGCCGAGGCAAUACGGCAAAUCCAGCAAAGAGGAGCGCAAUCCGGAGCCACGCUUCCAGCUCAGCAGAUCCGUGCAAAGCUCCUUCUGCAACGCUGUCUUGGAGGAGAGAGGGGUGAGCGGCAAGGCGGGGGGGGGUAAUCGGAAAGGGGCCUUUGCAAAGACCAAAAGAACCUGCAAGGAGGCAAUCGAGGGAGCCCAAAGCAACGUGCCUGCAGAAAAAUGACCAAAUCAACCUGGAGCUGGGAGCCCGAGACGCUCCUCCCCUCGCCGUGUGAAAAUGGACCCAGGGACUCAAGGAACUGGCAGAGAGUCACGUGAGAGAGCGAGCAACCUGAUCCCCUUAUUCAUUCCGCAGGAGUUUUCAAGCUCGCCUUUUGUCUGAGACUGGAUCCAAACUAGUGCCACAGGGCCGGGAAGGGGGAAGGGAGCAGCUCCCGCUGAGAAAGUUAAUAGUACCAGUAACACGGGCUAUGGGCUGGAUCCUGGUCCCACUGAAGUCAAAGAGUUUUGCUACUGCCCUGCCGAGAAAACAGGAUCUGGCCCUAAGCAAGCAGCCGCCCAGUGCUUUGUGACAUAUGCAGAAUACUCCUGCAUUUAAACAAAAAAAAUCUGAGCUCUUAUACUGGGGCAGCAUAGUCCAGUAGCUAAAGCACUGGACUAGGAGACAAGAGACUGACCAGCUGUGUGACCCUGAACAAUCACUUUACCUCACUCUGUCCUCCUCUCCUUUGUCUAUUUCAAUUGUAAGUUUGUUGGCACUGUCUCUGAGGAUAUGUUUGUACAGUACUUGGCCAAUGCGACCCCAAUCUUGCCUGGAGCCUCUAGGUAGGACUGUAAGACAAAUACUUAAUAUUUAUAUUAAUAUAUCCAUAUAAUCAUUUAAAUUGUAAUAUUAAUUACACACUACCCCUUGUUUUAACAUUCAGGACAUGGAUUCAGAAGGGCUCCAUACGCACACACAGGUCUGCCCAUAUGGAUCUGAUUCCAAGAUGGGAGUUUUCACUUACUCCCGGGGGCAGGGACUGUAUCUCCUUAUAUCUGUUUGUACAACACCAAGGCCACUCUCCAGUGCUCAAUAAAUAAUAAAACCGUACUACAUUUUCACUGGCGCAAUAGGGCCUAAAUCUAAAGCGUCUUUUCCUUUUACUGAGGUUUCACUUCUGACAUGAAGAGAAUAAUCGUUAGUUUUGCACUCUCUCCUGAGAAAUCUACAGCGCUGUCAUCUUUACAUCUAUUUAAGGGAUAAUGUCAAUGGAACAGAAUGUUGUCAUAGAAUAAUGGUCUCCUGCUGGUACUUACAGAAAAUAAAUGUCAGGGCAAAUUCUAGAUAUUUAUUAUCAAAGCAGGAGGUGCUGAUCCUGCGCCAGUGUUGAAUUCCAAUGACUUGAUUUCAAUUAUCCCAAAUAAAUGACCGAUGUAGAUUUAAUCAUUUGGGCCCAGAGUCUGAUCCCCUUACUCCGGUUGAGUAGUACUGUGCUCCACAACUGGUCCCACUGAAAUGAGGAGUGUUCUGAUUCCCCCACCCCUUCAUUCCCUUUCAUGGCCAAAUCUAGCCCAAAGGAAACAAAAACAAGUUUGCUUAAAACAAAACUACAUUAACAACAAAUUUAUUUUUAAUAAAUAUUGAACCUUACCUAAACCCAGCACUGAAAGCAGUCUGCUUUUCCCAUUCAUUUUUUUUGUAGAAUGAAUUUUUCCUGCUUCCUAAUUAUCUGAAAAUUGCCUCUUAAAAGUAAAUGGAUUUGUGAAUUUGGUUUAAUUACAAUGUAUUUUUGUGGCCAUGCUGUUGGUUUUGCUAGGAAACUAUAUCUAUCUAUCUAUGUGUGUGUGAAAGGGAAAAAAGUUUUUUUUUAAAUGUACAGUUACGUCAGUUCUGACCAUUACAUUGCAGCAUUUUGCAAUUUCUCAUAGUAAAGAAUGCAGUGUGACUCAA